AACGAACGCUGGCGGCAUGCCUAACACAUGCAAGUCGAACGAGACCUUCGGGUCUAGUGGCGCACGGGUGCGUAACGCGUGGGAACCUGCCCUUAGGUUCGGAAUAACUCCCCGAAAGGGGUGCUAAUACCGGAUAAGGUCUUCGGACCAAAGAUUUAUCGCCUUUGGAUGGGCCCGCGUUGGAUUAGCUAGUUGGUAGGGUAAAAGCCUACCAAGGCGACGAUCCAUAGCUGGUCUGAGAGGAUGAUCAGCCACACUGGGACUGAGACACGGCCCAGACUCCUACGGGAGGCAGCAGUGGGGAAUAUUGGAAAAUGGGCGAAGGCCUGAUCGAGCAAUGCCGCGUGAGUGAUGAAGGCCUUAGGGUUGUAAAGCUCUUUUACCCGGGAUGAUAAUGACAGUACCGGGAGAAUAAGCUCCGGCUAACUCCGUG
rnacentral:rRNA from 1 species